AAAGUCUGCCUCCCGCUUUUCUUUCGCCCGCUCCCACGUCGCUCGGCGGAUUUUUCAAACGCAGGGGAAAUUCAUAAUUAGCGUGUCGAGCAGUUUUAUCCAUGGACAGAUUAUCGACGGUUGCUCUUCAAUAGGAAAAAUAAAGAACAUCCUCGCACGCUCGCCCACCUAUCCAACCCCACCGCAUACACGCGUGCAAACCUGGUAGUGCACACACGCGCGGAUGUCGCGCGCGUCGAGCACUUGCGCGCCAACUUGGCACGGCUCUGGAAGCAAUUUACAUCCCGACGUCUCUCCUCACAACCGUGGGAAGGGGUUGGUCGAGGCCGGGGAGAGCGAGGAGGACUGGAGGUAGAGGCGACGGGGCGGCCCGAGACGGCACUGGAGCAUUGUAAUUCAAGUAAUGUAAGCUUUAUGCAAAAUACAUGUUAGUUAGGAGAGCACGAGAGAUAGGGCUACCCUCCUUUCCACCUCGCUACUCCUCCCCCGCAGCCCUCUUCCCUCCCGCGCCUUGGUUCCGUACUUACGUGCCCCUCUGUUCAAGUUUACAACGUUACUGCGCUCUCUCUCUAUCUCUCCCCCCUCCCUCUUUCUUCUCCCUCUCCCCCUUUCUCCUCUUUCUCUCUCGGUUCUUGCCUUUCCCUGUUUCUCUCAACACGAUCCACCCUUAGACGUGGUGGAGGGACAACUCCUACGUAAACAUAAACGCAAAAGCGCCGCGUGGACACGUGCUGAUGUGUGCGCUAUAUAAUAUGUCAAAACUGCAGCAUCCUGUUUAUAUUUAUCAAGUAUUGUACUGAUACAAAUAAAGAUUGUUUGCGCAUGGAA
rnacentral:lncRNA from 13 species